rnacentral:rRNA from 1 species
GACGAACGCUGGCGGCGUGCCUAAUACAUGCAAGUAGAACGCUGAAGGAGGAGCUUGCUUCUCUGGAUGAGUUGCGAACGGGUGAGUAACGCGUAGGUAACCUGCCUGGUAGCGGGGGAUAACUAUUGGAAACGAUAGCUAAUACCGCAUAAGAGUAGAUGUCGCACGACAUUUGCUUAAAAGGUGCAAUUGCAUCACUACCAGAUGGACCUGCGUUGUAUUAGCUAGUUGGUGAGGUAACGGCUCACCAAGGCAACGAUACAUAUCCGACCUGAGAGGGUGAUCGGCCACACUGGGAAUGAGACACGGCCCAGACUCCUACGGGAGGCAGCAGUAGGGAAACUUCGGCAAUGGAGGGAAGGCUGAACGAGCAACGCCGCGUGAGUGAAGAAGGUUUUCGGAUCGGAAAGCUCUGUUGUAAGAGAAGAACGAGUGUGAGAGUGGAAAGUUCACACUGUGACGGUAGCUUACCAGAAAGGGACGGCUAACUACGUG